CGAACGCUGGCGGCAGGCCUAACACAUGCAAGUCGAACGAGAUCUUCGGAUCUAGUGGCGGACGGGUGAGUAACGCGUGGGAACGUGCCCUUUGGUUCGGAAUAGCCUCGGGAAACUGGGAGUAAUACCGGAUACGCCCUUCGGGGGAAAGAUUUAUCGCCAAAGGAUCGGCCCGCGUUGGAUUAGGUAGUUGGUGGGGUAACGGCCUACCAAGCCGACGAUCCAUAGCUGGUUUGAGAGGAUGAUCAGCCACACUGGGACUGAGACACGGCCCAGACUCCUACGGGAGGCAGCAGUGGGGAAUCUUAGACAAUGGGGGCAAACCCCUGAUCUAGCCAUGCCCGCGUGAUCGAUGAAGGCCCUUAAGG
rnacentral:rRNA from 1 species